GAUUGGGACUCAUCUGACCCAUCUCCCCUCCUAGGUCAUUUUUGUCCUAAACUCAAAUGAAGCCCUACUCUAUUCUCUCAUCGAAGCAGAUCGUUGGCUUGUGGUGGAAAAUCAAAAAAUCUCGCUGGAACGCAAUGGAAAAUCGAAGGAGCUCGCCGAACAUCUGCAUAUCUUAGAGAAAUAAACACGGUCAGUGAGUACCCUCCAUCUCUGCAUCUCUGUAUCUGUUGAUUCUUCUUUUUCCUUCUUUGUUGUGACCUUUCUUCUUGUCCUUUGUUGACAUGAAAGCUUAUCUUACUCGAUCUGGGAAGUUUAGGGCUUUGAUUUGCAAGUAAAUCCUAGAUUUGCAAGGACCCGGGCAAGUGUCAUCUUCCUCUUUGUUUAUGUUGUUGUGGGUGUGGAUUUGAAACAUAAUUUUCAUCUCUCGCCGACUUCUCUUUAAAAAAAAAAAAAAUACUUAAAUGGAAAACCAAAAUCCUUUUUUUUUUCUAAUGUUUGGGACUUUUGUUGUUUCUUAUUACUGCUUGGGAAAUUGUUUUUUGAAAUGCUCUUUUGCAAUUUGUUAUUUCUUUCGGUUUGGGCAAUUUUUGUAGUUUGUAUUAGUAUGGAACAAAUUUUAACAAAUUUUCUGCUGCAUGUUCUGUCUUAGAAACAGAAUACAUUGGAGAAAGGUGUCUGGGCACUUUUUUGAAUCUUCCUCCUACCAAAUCUUAUCGAUUAUCCCUCGAACACAAAACCUUAGCACCAAGGGUAAAAUCCCUACAUAUCGUUGCUAUUUUCUUGUUCUUUUCUCUGAAUUCUUCUUGUUAGAGUAAUAGGUUUUAGCUUAUGCAGCUAUUAAUUUAUUGUAAUUUUUUUUUAUUUGGUCUUGUGUGUCUGAAGUAUGUGAAAUGGUUCUAACUUAUUUGGUCUUCUUUGUGCUCUCUUGAUUUGGGUCGGUCUGAUUUAUUGUUCUCAUGGAAUCCUGGUAGAGUAUAAAUCUUCUCAUUCUUGAUAAUUAUUAUUGCUCGUUUGGUAUAAUGUAGUCAAGUCCUUUCAUAAAUGAGAUAAACACAAAACGUAAGGGAAGGAGAAGAUGUGAAUAGUAAUUAUUUGAUUAUAAAUUUAUAUUUUCUUCUGUAUAAUCUUGUUUCUAAGUUAACUCUCUAACAAUUUCUUAUCAUAUUAUUAAUUUGAUUUUGAUGCUUAACAAGCAAACAACUUAGUGCCAAUGUUCCAAAAUAAACCCUCAUCAUUUUGCAUUAUAUCAUAUAUUAUAUAUUUAUAUCUAUAUAUAUAUAUAUUUUUUUUUUCCAGCUCUAUAUAUAUUUGUACACACCUGUUCCAUUCCUUCUCAAGUUUAAUACAUGUCCUUUUUUGUGGAUCACAAUCUGGAACUCUAUUACUAUAUUGAAGGGGACAUUUUAAGGAUUGCUUAAUUGGGUUUAGAGCUUAUCUUUUGAUUUGGAUCGGUCGGACAAAGAGAUAGUGCAAUUUACGAGUGAUCAAGAAACUUCAGUCCCUGAUAGCCAAAAAAGCUUGGUUAGACGAAAAGUGCGUAUUUAAAGUGGUGUUGAUCAAAUGUUUUAACUUUUCUUUGUUGGUUUUCCUGCUAAGUCUUUUUUCCUUGUAUUUCUUUGAAGAAAAUCUAUCUCGUGUUCCUUGGCUAUGGAAAAUAAUUCCAUCUUGAAGCUUUUUUUUUAUGAUGUUUGGCUACAGUUUAAGUUUGGGGAUGAUGUUUGGAAAAUCUCUCAUGUUUGCUCAUUUGGUGUUUUCCAUUGGCAUGCCAAUAAAUAUAAUAUACUACGUACCCGAUCCAUUAAUUAAUUAUUGGAUUUAGUUGUUUGUACCAUGUACAACAAGUACUCUUAUUAAAUUCUUUAUAAAUUAAUAUACUAUCUAUAUAUAUUGGCCUAAUAUAA